AGUUGAUUUCAGUGAGAAAAUUUAAAUUUAUCUUUCAAUGCCUCACAUUUAAAUCAGUGUGUCUAUAAAGUGCUUAAGUAUGACUGGAUCAUACUUUGGGAGCAACACCUGCCAGGUAAUCUGCACAAACUCUAUGACAUCGGUGGGAGUUAUGUGACUCCAUUGCCACUCAUUUAAAUGGGGCUUGCGCAAGAAAACCUCUUGGUGAAUGGUGCCUGUUAUAUACUUUAUAUUGGAUUUCAGAAGGAAUGUAAGAAGUCUGGAGGAUUGUGAAGGUCCACACAGUAGCUCUCUAGGAAUCCAGUAUAGGAUCAGUGGUUUGCUGCCUGCUUCAGGAGUUACUUUGCUUCCACGAAUACUUGUGUAUACUUGAGCUAUUGUGAAGCCACCAAAUGACCCUGCUCCUCUUUCAUCUAAAGAAAAUGAAUCCUUUAAGCUCUGUCCCUGGACUGAUGACUGCUCAGGGACAUUCCUGGCUCAGGGUGCCUUACUUAUGCCUGGUCCAAACCAAUAAGUCUUUAUCAGAGGGCCCAAGGAUACUUCACUCGGACUGACUGCUAGUAAUUCUCCUUUCUUUCCACCAUCCCAGUCACUUAUACAGGGCCUUUUCCCAAGCUUAGGCAGAUAGGCUUCCUGGUCUGAAGUGCCUUCAUAAUUCAUGGGCUUCUGGAUCACUCCUUCUCUUGGAUCGUGACCCUGGAGUACAACAGCUGUAAGGGCCUGAGCUUUCAUAGGCUGCACAUGCUAUAAUACAGUUGGCAAGGGAUUUCUCCUCAUCCAUGGCUACAGCUUGCAGUCAGUCAUCCUCCAAGCCACCUUGCAUGUUCUCUUGCAUUUUUUACAUAUUCUCAGCCUCAGCUACUCUACCUUUGUACCAUGAUCUCCAGUUCUUUUUCAGUUCAUAGGACUCUCCCCUAGCUUUUCAUUUGGAUCACUGCUGGAAACACCCAAGACAGACAAGAGUCUGUUGUUUCUCAGCUACUAACCCUUCAACACAUUCAGAAUUGAUUGGGAACUCCUUAGCCAUCCACAUGGCAGCUCUUCUGUUGGGUCUCUGGGCCUGUCUUGACUUCCUUGUAGCUGACGAUCCAGUAAAGCUCUUACCUGUUGAUAUGCCACCUCCGGACUCUUGUUUGGAGUUGCUGUAAUUUCUGCUGCUCUCUUUUUUUGACUCACGCCAACUCACAGUUUCCCUCCAGGGUGGGUGGGUAAUUUCCUUCUUUGUGACCAAUCUUAAGUGCUCUCCUCUUCCUCAAGCAGCGGGAAGCAAAGGGAUAGCAUCCCUCUAUUUCGUUUUCUUUGGAGAAAGAGCAUGGUAUUCUUAAGGUAUCUUUGGUAAACUGCUUAUUUAACAUACAAACAGCAAGCAGGCUGUUAUAAAAUAGGUAGCACAGCCACUAAGCCCUAGAUUAGAUUCCCAGAGCACAAAACUGUGGACCUACACAACCCUCUGAGUUGCCUUGAAUUCUACUAAUUUGCAGCUGAAACUCUCUAGUUCAUGCUGUCUUUACCCCCACAGUCAAACUGCCAACACACUCAUGUGGAGCUUUGUCUCCCUACCUGCAAUCUUUCCUUUCGUUGUUCUUUUUUGGUUAUCCUCAACAAUACAGUCAAUGAAUAAAAAUGGCAUAAGAAAAAAGACAGCUUAGCAAUGGCUGAUAGUAAUUUGUAGUGCAGUCUCAUACGGUUAAAGUAAAUACAAUCAGAAUAAGCCUAAAAGGGGGGAGGGACUUUGGUCAGGGAGGAAGGGAAAAAAGGCAGGGGCAGGGAUAUGCUCCGGCAGAGUCUGCUGGGCAUGUACUUCAUGCAGACAAUCCCACAGAGAGAACACCUGUGCAGAGGCGUAGUGUGGGGGAAGGGCAGGGGGGAACAUGGCCCCGGGUGCACAUCUUUGAAGGGAUGCAAUCAGGUGCCCGCACGACAGGCAUGGAGUCUUGGCAGCUGAGGCAUGGCAGCAGGUGGCUUGGUCUAGUGGGCAGGUGGAGGAAGCAGUGGGUGAGGGGCCUGUUGGAGGCGGGCUCCGUUCACCCUCGGCGUGGGCUUUGCGUCCCUCUCGCAUGUGCCCCCACCCCUGCUGACGCCCUGAUGGUCAGCAACCCAUGUUACACCACUGCCCCAGUGUUCUAGUGCUAAUUUCCGUUGUGCUGUCUGCUGAAGGUGACUUCUCCUAUGGUGUAAGGGUACAUGAGUCUUCUGACCACUGAGCAAUGGGAGGGGGAGUUUACAGGGGACAUACAUUCCUUCCAGUGCUGUAGCACCAUCCUUUUGCCCAUCAAGAAGGCACACAACGUGCUAUUAUGUUGUCUGUCCAUCGAAGUCCCUCAGCGUUGGAAUAUAACCAGUACAAUGUGAGCAUCCAAGAGUUUUAAGUUCCAUCCUGCUGGUGAAUUGCCUAGCCACGAGCUGAUCAGCCCUGACUUACCUUCACGCAAUCAGCUAAACAUGGGUCACUGAGGGUCAAAGCAGUAGGGAUGGGUCAAUAGGAAAUGGCCACAAGCCAGUGAGGCCUGUGCAAGCCUCUUUAUUUCAGUAGGUUUGUGAAUGCAUAACGCUGAGCUGGAUUAGGACCAGAGUGUGUGCAAUUUGCACACAUGAUGUUGGUGAAGCAUGAUUGAGAGUCUAGCUAGUCCUUGAGUGUGAGAAUCUCCCUUACUUUAUACUGUGUUUUCUUUGCCGGUUGGGUUGGAACAAGAAGUGCCAGUACCUAAAUAAGCCUGCAAACAAAACCUCUGCUUAUAGACAUUUCUUAUCCCUGUAAGCUCCAGAAAUCCUGCAAAGAAAGCAGAAUUCUUGGGAGAUUUCUCAACUUGAUAUCAAGAGGUUUGGAUAAGCUCUGCUUCUGUAGCUAAGCUUCCAGGGGGGCUCUUCUGUAUGGGAUCUUCAGAUUUGAUUUCCCCCCAGCCACUGGCUUGUAUUGUCUUCCCCAUGGGAUAAGGUGUUCUCUCUGAAUACUACUACAACACUGACUGCAUAUUUUCUCCUCGCCAUCGCAAAAGAAGCAAACUGUGUUAUUUACAAAGGUGUGCUUGUGACAGUAAGACUUAAUUCAAUUUCAUAAUCAUAUGCUUCAUUCUCUCAACAUGGUCACCGGCCUCUAGUCCUAAAGAUACGGGCCUUGAGGAAUAUCCAGCUGUAUCAGGGUAGGACUUUACUGGCUUUAAAAGUUGCUUUUAUGUGAUUAAUUGGCUUGGCCUUUUGAUGCAAAUGGUGGAGGAUGGCUGAACAAUUCCAAAAAGAGCAAGGACUGGUUACCAUUCCUAUAAUUUCUGUUAGUGCAGUUGAGGGACUUCGUUACAAUAUGUAGGAAAGCAUGCAGUUAGCUUUCUUUGGGAGCUGAAUAGGCCUCAGCGAUGAAGAUAUAAUGGAAAGAUGUGUUGUUUAUUAGAAGAAAAGUUUUCCCCCACUUGUAACUGACCUGCCAUGUAUACAUCUAUUUAGAUUCAAAAGAAAAGUCUCAGCAGCACACUAUGUUCAAAAUAAAUUUCCUUCUCUCAACCUCAUUUGGAUGACCUCAUCUGCAAACAUCCAACAAGGAACCUGCAAUUCUUGGUUUAUGUCCUUUAUCUGGUAUAGUUCUUCCUCAGUAUCAGCUUGGUUGAUCAGUUUCAGUGGGAGAUCUCAAAGGCAAGUGGCUGAAAUCCAGUCAGUAUUCUGCAAGUGAAUUUAACAACUUGUUUGAGUAAGAAAAAUCAUUUUGUUGUCUGGAUCCAUCAGUACUUUGAUGGUGGCAGGGGGCAUUCUGGUUUCAAAGCCAACAUAUUGACUUUGGGGGUUAAUAUUUCAGACACUUGAGGACUUUUUUUUAUAAGUAUCAAUAUUUGGAUUUGUUUCUCUUGUUUUUCAAUACUGUGGAAUGGUACAGGUUAAGUAAUGCCAUAACUGCACCCCAAAUCCAGAUGGUGUUGAAAUGACUACAUAUAUAUAUAUUCACAACAUUUUAUUUUUCUGAGUUGUUUAGAUAUUUUUAAAUAUCUGAAAGUUUUGUCUAUCUGUUGGGUAUAAAUAACUUAACAAUAUUUCACAUGACAUUUGUAUUGAAAAGCUCCAGUUGACCUGUGGAUUGCAUUCCAAAGCAUUAAUAGCAUAGAAUGUAUUUAAAAGAACUCACUGGAUGAUUUACAAAAUGGAGUUUACACUGCAGUAUGUAUGAGUAAAUAGUGAUGGAACUGUCCAAUGGAAAAUGCACAGAAUGGGUGUUUCCACGCUGUGUUUUUAGUUUCUUAGGCCAGGAGCAUCCCUUUUACAGCCAUCCAUUCGCACAAUUUUAGUGGUUAAUGUGAAAGUUACAACUUAACUUUUUAUCAUUUCCAAACGCAUGGAAAGUAUAGUGUGUGUGUGUGUGUGUGUGUGUGUGCGCGCGCAGUAGAAUUUAUUUAUUUCUUUGUUUUAAAUUGGUUUGCCUUUGGUUCCGUUUACAUGGCAUGUGCAGCGGAAUGAGGUGAAAUGCUUGCAACUCCAGCUGUGCAGUUUCCUCUUCCAUUUCAUCAUGCAAACCAUCUAAUGCGAUGAAGAGAAUGUUCCAAAUAGAAGAGAUUGGUGGAGAACAGAGAGGCACCCUUCCAGGCCGAGAUUCCCAAAUGUUGGGUAUGAACCUGCCUUUGACCCAAAUGAGGUGGCUGCUCUUGGGUGUUGUGAGGAAAUCAGCACAACUGAAUGUAGAGCAGUGACGAUGUUCCACGGAUAUCUCCUAUUAGUAAUACAUUUGGGAAUCCCUGGCACAGGAGACUGGGUGCCUUUCGUGGAGAUUAACACAUAGCAUUUCUUCCUUCAUCUCCUGCUGUUUGCUGAGCUUUUGAAAUUAAGUUAAGGCUGCCAGCCAUCAACCUUGAGGUGAUGCCUUUCCUUUUAAAAUGACAAGGCACCAUGAACAGAUGCUGCAGCUAAGCUUCUGCCCCUUUCCUCCACCCAUCAUUCCAGCCUCCCUCCUCUCCUGGUUGCAGUAGAGCCAAAUUUAAGACUUACAUUUUAAGUCAUGCUUGGUGCAGGUGGUGGUGGAGGGGAAGGGUGGGGGCAAAGGGACUCACAGAAGAAUGGUGUUGGUGCCACAAUGGCUGCCUAUUUUUUUCACUUCCUUGGAGCUUUCAAAGUGGUAGGUGUGGUCUCCGGGUUGAUGGGCGACACUCCUAAAUUUAAUGCCUGAGCCAAAUGAGAUGGGGUGGACGGGGCCUGGGGUGGUUUUGAUUUAAACUUUUCUCUCUUGGUUGGGUUCUCUGGACUCCUAGUUAGUUCAGGGCAUGACAUUCUUUGUGGGCAGGAGCUGAGGUAGGGAGGGUUGAGAGUCAGGGAAAGGGUUUACUAGCUUAGUGUCCAAUCACAGCUUUGUUACCAAAUGGCCAUGUUGGCCCAGAUUAUUUUCAAAAUGGCCACUGGUGCUAUUUCAGCAUAUAUCAAGGGAACACUGCUAUGGAUCCCAGUUGGGGGUGGGGCAGGAGGACAAAGCAUUUUGAAUGCAAGCUUGACGACACAAAGGCAUCCAGUGUGGGGUUCAGGCAGAGACUUGGAAAUGCAAUUUCCUCACACAACUAAAAUGGGGAAAGGAGACAUCGUUAUUACUUUCCCAGCGUAGCGCCUUCCCAAGGGAAAGCGCCGUCGAACUCAGGCUUGCCUCGUCUCUCUGAGGCCCAAAUCCCACUACCCCCACCAAUCACUACUCUUCUUUCUCCCAAUCCUCCUGUCCCCAACACCUCCCCCUCUCCAAUUCUUUUUUCUGUAAAUAGCUAUUUCUGAUUUCGGACAAGCAGGGAUCGAUAGAUUCUGGAGGGGGGAGGACAAUUGUUUUACUUUUUCCCUUUCUCUUAAUGAUUUUUGGUGUUUGAACUUGAAAAAAUAGUAUUUAUUAGUGUGUGUGUAUGUGUGUGUGUGUCUAUAUAUAUAAAUAUAUAUACACACACAUACACAGGCGACAUCAACAUACACACACAUACACACAUACAAAUGGAUCCUGGUCAAAAAGAAAGUCGUUGAUUUCCCCCCAUUGAUUUAUCUUGUUUCUCACUGGGAGUUGUUUUGGGAGCAGAUGGUUUUUUGGGGGGUGGGUGGGUGAAAUGUAUAGAUUUUCAGUACAGCAUUGCUCAAACAAUGCAGGGAAAAAACUUUAAAAGAAAGGGGGGAAGGAACAACAACAACAAAAAUAAAACAAAAUGAGAAAACUUUGUGAUGUACAGAAUCUGUAAAUAGUCAAAGAUUCUUUCUCUUUUCUAACAGCAAAUUAUUUCUGUCACUUUAUAUUC
rnacentral:lncRNA from 1 species